UUCCGUAAGGGGGGGACUGCGGAAGGAUCAUUA
rnacentral:rRNA from 1 species